UACGUAGGGUGCGAGCGUUGUCCGGAAUUAUUGGGCGUAAAGAGCUCGUAGGCGGUGUGUCACGUCGGCCGUGAAAACCUGCAGCUUAACUGUGGGCGUGCGGUCGAUACGGGCAUCACUGGAGUUCGGCAGGGGAGACUGGAAUUCCUGGUGUAGCGGUGAAAUGCGCAGAUAUCAGGAGGAACACCGGUGGCGAAGGCGGCUCACUGGCCCGAUACUGA
rnacentral:rRNA from 1 species